CUACGGGCGGCAGCAGUUAGGCAUAAUCUACAAUGUACGCAAGUAUGAUAGUUUGAGCCAGAGUGCGUUUCAAUGAAAUGCUUUUGCUAAAUGUAAAAAGUUUGGCGAAUAAGGACUGGGUAAGACGAGUGCCAGCCGCCGCGGUAAUACUCGCGGUCCAAGUCGCAGCCACAUUUAUUGGGUCUAAAACAUCCGUAGCUUGCUUUGUAAGUUUCUUGUGAAAUUUUACCUCUCAAAGGUAGAGCGAGCAAGAAGUACUGCAGAGCUAGAGACUGGAAGACGUAAGGAGUAUGUUCGAAGUAGCGGUAAAAUGUGUUAAUCUCGGACAGACUUACAACAGCGAAGGCACCUUACGAGGACAGUUCUGACAGUAAGGGAUGAAGGCUAGGGGCGCAAAACGGAUUAGAUACCCGCGUAGUC
rnacentral:rRNA from 1 species